rnacentral:rRNA from 1 species
UGCCUAAUACAUGCAAGUCGAACGAACUUCCGUUAAUUGAUUAUGACGUGCUUGCACUGAAUGAGAUUUUAACACGAAGUGAGUGGCGGACGGGUGAGUAACACGUGGGCAACCUGCCCAGAAGCAGGGGAUAACACCUGGAAACAGAUGCUAAUACCGUAUAACAGAGAAAACCGCCUGGUUUUCUUUUAAAAGAUGGCUCUGCUAUCACUUCUGGAUGGACCCGCGGCGCAUUAGCUAGUUGGUGAGGUAACGGCUCACCAAGGCGAUGAUGCGUAGCCGACCUGAGAGGGUAAUCGGCCACAUUGGGACUGAGACACGGCCCAGACUCCUACGGGAGGCAGCAGUAGGGAAUCUUCCACAAUGGACGCAAGUCUGAUGGAGCAACGCCGCGUGAGUGAAGAAGGGUUUCGGCUCGUAAAGCUCUGUUGUUAAAGAAGAACGUGGGUGAGAGUAACUGUUCACCCAGUGACGGUAUUUAACCAGAAAGCCACGGCUAACUACGUGCCAGCAGCCGCGGUAAUACGUAGGUGGCAAGCGUUAUCCGGAUUUAUUGGGCGUAAAGCGAGCGCAGGCGGUCUUUUAAGUCUAAUGUGAAAGCCUUCGGCUCAACCGAAGAAGUGCAUUGGAAACUGGGAGACUUGAGUGCAGAAGAGGACAGUGGAACUCCAUGUGUAGCGGUGAAAUGCGUAGAUAUAUGGAAGAACACCAGUGGCGAAGGCGGCUGUCUGGUCUGUAACUGACGCUGAGGCUCGAAAGCAUGGGUAGCGAACAGGAUUAGAUACCCUGGUAGUCCAUGCCGUAAAC